rnacentral:tRNA from 1 species
GUGGGUGUAGCUCAGCAGGCAGAGCACCAGGUUGUGGCCCUGGGUGUCGUGGGUUCGAGCCCCAUCACUCACCCCA